rnacentral:tRNA from 1 species
GCAGUGGUGCUUCCGUGGUAGAAUUCUAGCCUUUCAUGCGGGAGACCUGGGUUCGAUCCCCAGCCAAUGCC